GGCCGGAAGACCCGUCCCCACUUCCCAUUGCCCGCCGCUGCCUGCCCAGCCCUUGGUGAACACCGGAAUUCAGAGGCUCGGUGUGACACACCUGGAACCCCAGCACUUUCGAGACUGAGGCAGGAGGAUCACCGGUCUCAGUAUGCAAUUCAGGCUGGCCUCCAACUCCCAGUGAUCCUCCCGCCUCAGCCUCCAGAGUGCUAGGAUGACAGGUGAGGGCCACCACUCUGAGGGCUUUAUAAAAUGUUUUCAUGGUCUCCCUGAGUUGCCCGGGGUGGGUAGGGCUUCUGGUCAGAGCAGAGGCACCUGGCCAGAGAGGGGCAGGGACAGAAGCCCUUGUGCCUCAUGUCGCUGAUUGGUACUCUCUGCAUCGGUCUUUCAAAGGGACAGUGACCUAAUGGGUGAGCACUGCCGGGCCUCAGACCCCGGGGCCCUCGUGAGGGCAGGGGUGGAAGGACGCCUCUGUCUCCUGAGGAGUGGGAUGGGGGCAAAGGGGAAGGGUGUGGCCGGUCCCCAUGCCCAGGCUGCAGUCCUCUAGCAGGUCAGCGGCCUUGGGAGGUGCCCGCGGCUCCUCGAGCGUCUCUGGGGACACCAGCUCUGCCUGACUCCGUCUCAGAAGGGACUUCUUCCCCACUGUGCCUUCUGGCCCUCCUGUCCCCAGGUGCCCGCCUCCUCUGGGACACCUGAUGGGUGACUCUGCCACCCUAGGACACUGGACGAACCACCCUUCCAGAACCGGUUUGAAGCCAAACAAUGGUGCGGCGUGGGCCAGCAGAGCAGGAGGCUAUGGGAGCAGUGGUUUUGUGGCCAAGAGGGGCAAAGGCCCAGGCGCCGGGCAAUCAGCCUCUCCCAGCCUGGCAAGGGGCCCCGAGGCACCCUGGUCUUCCCAGAGGCCGGGGACAGUAGGGAUGCAAAGCCUCCUGAGAUGAGGGAGGUGACCCAGGUCAGGGGCAGAUGGGUCACCCACCUCCCUGCAAUGAGGAGAGGGAGGCAGCCAUCCCAGGAGGGACGCUCCCCAGGGAGCCAAAAAGCUCUGAGCCACUUACAGCCCCUAAAGUCUCCCCACUCCUCCCCGUAACUGUGCCUUCCCCUCCCCAAAUCCCAAGCCCCCUGCUAGAGCUCACAU